rnacentral:rRNA from 1 species
CGGGGCGGGAUGCUAGCUAUGCAAGUCGAACGGGAUCCAUCAGGCUUUGCUUGGUGGUGAGAGUGGCGAACGGGUGAGUAAUGCGUGACCGACCUGCCCCAUACACCGGAAUAGCUCCUGGAAACGGGUGGUAAUGCCGGAUGCUCCAGUUGAUCGCAUGGUCUUCUGGGAAAGCUUUCGCGGUAUGGGAUGGGGUCGCGUCCUAUCAGCUUGACGGCGGGGUAACGGCCCACCGUGGCUUCGACGGGUAGCCGGCCUGAGAGGGCGACCGGCCACAUUGGGACUGAGAUACGGCCCAGACUCCUACGGGAGGCAGCAGUGGGGAAUAUUGCACAAUGGGCGCAAGCCUGAUGCAGCGACGCCGCGUGAGGGAUGGAGGCCUUCGGGUUGUAAACCUCUUUUAUCGGGGAGCAAGCGAGAGUGAGUUUACCCGUUGAAUAAGCACCGGCUAACUACGUGCCAGCAGCCGCGGUAAUACGUAGGGUGCAAGCGUUAUCCGGAAUUAUUGGGCGUAAAGGGCUCGUAGGCGGUUCGUCGCGUCCGGUGUGAAAGUCCAUCGCUUAACGGUGGAUCCGCGCCGGGUACGGGCGGGCUUGAGUG